GUGAUCCUUAUGUCUUAGACAGUGUUUGGUAUACAGUAAGUGUUCAAAGUGUUAUUGAGUGAACCUGUGCUUGCUCUGGGUAUAUGUUCUGAAGACAAGCUAGCUGGAAGCUUCACAGGAUGCAAGAGGACCAAGAAGGAGAAGUCACUCAUAAAGGACAGACAGGCUAUGUUUUAAAACGCUGGCCAUUUCCUCUACUGAUAAGCUGCUACAUUUCAAAAAAACAAAACCAAAAACCAUAGUGGCUGGAAAGCUGGCGCAGGAGGGUCUGUCACUGGCCUGGAACUCUCCAUGAAGACUAUGUUUGCUGGCCACUGAGUCCCAGAGAUGUAUGGAUUUCUGCCUGGUCAGCUCUGAGAUGACAAGCACACAUUACCACUAUGGCUUACAACAAAGCAAAACAACAGCAAAAAUCAUGAGUUCUGGGGAUCCAACUCAGGUCCUCACGCUCAUGGUGAAAGAAUUUUACUAAAUUGCCUAUCCCACCAGCUUCCAGAUUUGGAAUUUUUAAACAGGACUGCAUGAAGCAACUCUUCCCAUUACAUAAAAAUGGAAAAGGAAAAAGAUGAUUGUCAGUCAUAUUCCCUGUUUGUCCUGGGUUGCAGCUCUCUCUAACUCCUGUUUAGUCUCAGAAAUCUGGAGAUGAACUGUAUGUUGCAACUGUGAAGGAUCUUUCAGGAUGGUGACAGGUACCUAAGAAGGUGACUCAAGCAUCUGAAACAGCUAGAAAAGAUACUGUGAUCCAUGACAUUCCAAGACUGAUAAGGAUGGUGCUGUUGGAUCCAAACUCAGGUCCGAAUGCUUGCAAGGCAGGCACUUUACCAAAUGAGCCAGCUCCCCAGGCCUGGCACCAUGUUUCGAGCCACUGUAUCCAUAUGGACAGAGUCUGUUCCCAGCGAAUCAAACCUCAAGGACGCUCGCAGAACGGUUGCUUCUGGAAGAGCAGGGUAUUUUACGAAGGGCAGAACAGAGAGAUGAGGAAGACACGGAUGCAGAAAUUACCAAGGAAGGUUGUGUUCGGGGGUUUGUCUGUCUAUUUAUUUUGUCAACUUGAUACAAGCUGGGGUCAUCUGGAAAGACGCAACCUCAACUGAGAAAAUGCCUCAAUCAGAUUGCGCUGUGGGCAGUUUCCUUGAUUAGUGAUCGAUGUGGGAGGGCCCAGUCCACGGUGGGCAGUGACACCUGUGGGAAAGUGGCCCUGCAUUGUAUAAAGCUGAGCGAGCAGCGCUCCUCCACGGCCUCUGCUUCGGUUCCUACGUUCCUGUUUGAGUUCCUGCCCUGACUAUCUUGAUGGUGGACUAUAAGCUAUAAGAUAAAAUAAAU